AUCCAGCUGACGAGUUCAAAAUAAGACGAAACUGGCGUCCUGGAU
rfam:Schistosoma haematobium scaffold1135_2, whole genome shotgun sequence.